UAUUUCCAGGUGUUCACCUCAAAUAGUCCCUU
rnacentral:piRNA from 1 species